rnacentral:rRNA from 1 species
UACAGAGGUCCCAAGCGUUUGUUCGGAUUCACUGGGCGUAAAGGGUGCGUAGGUGGUCGGGUAAGUCCGAUGUGAAAUCUCCAGGCUCAACCUGGAAAUGGCAUUGGAUACUAUUCGGCUUGAGGAGUGGAGGGGGGACUGGAAUUCUCGGUGUAGCAGUGAAAUGCGUAGAUAUCGAGAGGAACACCAGUGGCGAAGGCGAGUCCCUGGACACUUCCUGACACUGAGCACGAAAGCUAGGGGAGCAAACAGG